rnacentral:rRNA from 1 species
CGUACGGGUGAGUAAUGCAUCGGAAUGUACCGUGUAAUGGGGGAUAGCUCGGCGAAAGCCGGAUUAAUACCGCAUACGCCCUGAGGGGGAAAGCGGGGGACCGAAAGGCCUCGCGUUAUACGAGCAGCCGAUGUCUGAUUAGCUAGUUGGUGAGGUAAGAGCUCACCAAGGCGACGAUCAGUAGCGGGUCUGAGAGGAUGAUCCGCCACACUGGGACUGAGACACGGCCCAGACUCCUACGGGAGGCAGCAGUGGGGAAUUUUGGACAAUGGGCGCAAGCCUGAUCCAGCCAUGCCGCGUGUCUGAAGAAGGCCUUCGGGUUGUAAAGGACUUUUGUUCGGGAGGAAAUCCCCGCUGGUUAAUACCUGGCGGGGGAUGACAGUAC